rnacentral:rRNA from 1 species
AGUGAACGCUGGCGGUAGGCCUAACACAUGCAAGUCGAACGGCAGCACAGUAAGAGCUUGCUCUUACGGGUGGCGAGUGGCGGACGGGUGAGGAAUACAUCGGAAUCUACUUUUUCGUGGGGGAUAACGUAGGGAAACUUACGCUAAUACCGCAUACGACCUACGGGUGAAAGCAGGGGAUCUUCGGACCUUGCGCGAUUGAAUGAGCCGAUGUCGGAUUAGCUAGUUGGCGGGGUAAAGGCCCACCAAGGCGACGAUCCGUAGCUGGUCUGAGAGGAUGAGUAGCCACACUGGAACUGAGACACGGGCCAGACUCCUACGGGAGGCAGCAGGGGGGAAUAUUGGGCAAAGGGCGGAAGCCUGAUCCAGCCAAACCGCGUGGGUGAAGAAGGCCUUCGGGGUGUAAAACCCUUUUUGUUGGGAAGAAAAACAGCAAGUUUAAACCCCGCCGUUCUGACGGUACCCAAAAAAAAAGCAACGGCUAACUUCGUU